GUGACAAGGGAAAGCAGCUCGGCAGAGGAGACAGCAGGGCCACAGCCAGGGACACAGAUGCUUUGCCACCUUCCUGGGAAGCAGAAGCAUCCACAGUACCAGCCUGGUUCCCAUCCAGGGAAAACCUGUCCUGCCUGCCGCAGGCUUCCAGCAAGGCUCGGGAUGGGUACCAGGGCGAGCUACCCUGGAUCACAAAAAGGACCUUCCAGCCUCCCUGCCAGUACUUUCAAGCCAAGGAGGAACAUCCACACCCAAGUAGCUCUGGCACUUCCGCGCGAGCAGGGGUCCACCCACAGCUGGUCCCCUCCCGGGCAGGGCUCUGCUGAUGAAAGAAGCUAGUGUGACCCGAAGGCCCAGACCUCCCUGAGGACACCGAGUCCAUCUCACCUCAACGCACAGAAAGGAGCAUCAGGAAGUACCAAGUGUCUCAACUCUGAACUUCUCCCCUUGCUGACGUGGAAAAGUGGGAAGCCAACACAGGAGACAUGCUUAAGGAAAGUCUAAAGGACUGCAAACUCCCAAGUGCUGUGUGAGCCAGGGAGUGCGUGAGUGGGAACAAUGGCUGCUCUGUGCCGCAAGGCAUGCCCUCACACCUCAGGAAGACAGAGAGCUCGUUCCUCAGAGUUCCUCCUCUCAAAGUCCAAACACAGACCACAGACCAGGAAGCUGGAAGGAGCGAGGGGGGCUAGGCGAAUCUCCCCCUGUGCUAAGUGCCUUUGUGUGCGGCUUGGAGCCCUGGGCCAGCUGGCAGGCUAACACGUCUGACUUGGGACCUGCGCAUCAGCAAGCUGGGGGUGAGUCUGGGAAGCGGGUGCCCUGUACCGCCAUUCUGUAAGACCAGCGUGCUGGAGGCCACUUAAAGGCUUCCAGCGUCAGGGCUCAAAGUGUGUCUGCUCACAACAGCCAGGGAAAGUCCUUAGGCUUCCGUUUCCGGCCAGUGUGGGAGAGUCAGCUCUAAGAGCAAGGUGAAGCCAAAGACACCUGGGCCUGGUUGGACAAGGCCUUUAUACAGCAGCCUCACCUAGUAGGCGACAAAUGACGAGGGGACAGAAGCUCCUCUUGCCUCCCUAUCUCCACUCGCUGCCCGCUGUCAAACAUGACAAAGACAUUGCCUCCUGUGCCAAGUAAUAACUUGGGGGAGGAAGAGGAAGGUUGGUUCAGGCUCCUGGCUUGAGGACAUCGUCACAGCAGGGAAGGCAAGGGGGCAGGGGUGUGAGGCUCCUGCUCAAAAACCCACAGGCCAGGCAGGGGGCAGAGACGGGUAUGGCACCACGAAGUGGCUUUCCAUUCCUCCCUUUUUAUUCAGCCUGGGACCCUAGCCACGGUCAGGACGUGUCUUCCCUGGAAACACCAUCGCCGACACCCUAGACCCAUCGUGAGACCAAUCAAGCUGACAGGCAGAAUUCACCUCUCUCUGCCAUAGGCAAGGCCCUUCAGUGGAGCUCCUUAUACAGACGGGCAAAAUCGGGGGG